AAUCUUAUGGUUUAAUAUAAGACAAUUUCUGCCCAAUGAUUUUUUUUAAUGGCCGCAGUACCUUGACUGUGCUAAGGUAGCAUAAUAAAUUGGCUUUUAAAUGAAGUCUGGAAUGAAAGAACACUUGAGUAAAGAUUGUCUUUACUUUGUUUUAUUGAAUUUUUUUAUUAAGUGAAAAUACUUAAAUUAUAUUAGAAAGACGAGAAGACCCUUAGAAUUUUUAGAAUUUUUUUACUUUUACUUUUUGUUGGGGUGACACAUUAACAUUUUUAACUUUUUUUUUAACUAGACAGAUUUUUCAAGAUAGAGAAAAUUACCUUAGGGAUAACAGCAUAAUUUUUUUUUAAGAUUAUGACCUCGAUGUUGGACUAGGAACCUAAUAAUUAGUAAUUAAAUUGGUUAGUUCUGUUCGAACUUUUUUUCCU
rnacentral:rRNA from 1 species